rnacentral:rRNA from 1 species
AUUGAACGCUGGCGGCAGGCCUAACACAUGCAAGUCGAACGCGCGGGGGGCGGGUGAGAAAAAUCUCUGGAAAUGCCUGAUAGAGGGGGAGAACUACUGUAGAAGGGAGCUAAUACCGCACACGCCCAGAUGUGUCCCGAUGGGGUUAGCUCGUGGGUGGGGUAACGGCGCACCUAGGCGACGAUCCCUAGCUGGGCUGAGAGGAUGACCAUCCACACUGGAACUGAGACACGGUCCAGACUCCUACGUGAGGCAGCAGUGGGGAAUAUUGCACAAUGGGCGCAAGCCUGAUGCAGCCAUGCCGCGUGUAUGAAGAAGGCCUUCGGGUUGUAAAGUACUUUCAGCGGGGAGGCGUUACCCGCAGAAGAAGCACCGGCUAACUCCGUGCCAGCAGCCGCGGUAAUAC